AUUGAACGCUGGCGGCAGGCCUAACACAUGCAAGUCGAGCGGAUGAAGGGAGUUUGCUCCUGGAUUCAGCGGCGGACGGGUGAGUAAUGCCUAGGAAUCUGCCUGGUAGUGGGGGAUAACGUCCGGAAACGGGCGCUAAUACCGCAUACGUCCUGAGGGAGAAAGUGGGGGAUCUUCGGACCUCACGCUAUCAGAUGAGCCUAGGUCGGAUUAGCUAGUUGGUGGGGUAAAGGCCUACCAAGGCGACGAUCCGUAACUGGUCUGAGAGGAUGAUCAGUCACACUAGAACUGAGACACGGUCCAGACUACUACGGGAGGCAGCAGUGGGGAAUAUUGGACAAUAGGCGAAAGCCUGAUCCAGCCAUGCCGCGUGUGUGGAGAAGGUCUUCGGAUUGUGAAGCACUUUAAGUUGGGAGGAAGGGCAGUAAGUUAAUACCUUGCUGUUUUGACGUUACCAACAGAAUAAGCACCGGCUAACUUCGUG
rnacentral:rRNA from 1 species